rnacentral:rRNA from 1 species
UACGUAGGUGGCAAGCGUUAUCCGGAUUUAUUGGGCGUAAAGGGAACGCAGGCGGUCUUUUAAGUCUGAUGUGAAAGCCUUCGGCUUAACCGGAGUAGUGCAUUGGAAACUGGGAGACUUGCGUGCAGAAGAGGAGAGUGGAACUCCAUGUGUAGCGGUGAAAUGCGUAGAUAUAUGGAAGAACACCAGUGGCGAAAGCGGCUCUCUGGUCUGUAACUGACGCUGAGGUUCGAAAGCGUGGGUAGCAAACAGG